GGACUAGCCCGGGUGGUUUGGCGUCACCUGUAAUCUGAAAUUGUCAAUAAGCAGAGGGCGAAGUUUGAGGACGGAUUCGGCAGUCCUUUUGAGGCGGCAGGGUUUCCGAUGUUGAUACCUUGUCCUGCGAGGUCAGCGGAUGUCUGUGGUGUAUCCGGAGGGAUGCAUCCUCUCAUUGUCGUGGGCACCGGUUCAGGCCCGGAAGGGAGCAGACCUACUGUGAACGCAUGGCGCCCGCAGGGUUGCGGGGCGGAGUCUGGCUCUG
rnacentral:SRP_RNA from 1 species